rnacentral:tRNA from 1 species
AAAAACAUAGUAUAAAUUAAUACAUUUCAUUUACACUGAAAAUAUAUUCUAUAACAUGAAUUGUUUUUA